GGUAACGUAGAGUGCUUGCACUCUGACGACGACCGGCGUACGGGUGCGUAACGCGUAUACAAUCUGCCUUACACUGGGGUAUAGCCCAGAGAAAUUUGGAUUAAUCCCCCAUGGUAUCAUAUUAUGGCAUCAUAAAAUGAUUAAAGGUUACGGUGUAAGAUGAGUAUGCGUCCUAUUAGUUAGUUGGUGAGGUAACGGCUCACCAAGACGACGAUAGGUAGGGGCCCUGAGAGGGGGAUCCCCCACACUGGUACUGAGACACGGACCAGACUCCUACGGGAGGCAGCAGUGAGGAAUAUUGGACAAUGGGCGAGAGCCUGAUCCAGCCAUGCCGCGUGCAGGAAGACUGCCCUAUGGGUUGUAAACUGCUUUUAUACAGGAAGAAACACUCCCUCGUGAGGGAGCUUGACGGUACUGUAAGAAUAAGGACCGGCUAACUCCGUGCCAGCAGCCGCGGUAAUACGGAGGGUCCGAGCGUUAUCCGGAAUCAUUGGGUUUAAAGGGUCCGUAGGCGGGCAAUUAAGUCAGGGGUGAAAGUUUGCGGCUCAACCGUAAAAUUGCCUUUGAUACUGGUUGUCUUGAAUUAGUGUGAAGUGGUUAGAAUGAGUAGUGUAGCGGUGAAAUGCAUAGAUAUUACUCAGAAUACCAAUUGCGAAGGCAGAUCACUAACACUAUAUUGACGCUGAUGGACGAAAGCGUGGGGAGCGAACAGGAUUAGAUACCCUGGUAGUCCACGCUGUAAACGAUGGAUACUAGCUGUUCGAUCUUCGGAUUGAGUGGCUAAGCGAAAGUGAUAAGUAUCCCACCUGGGGAGUACGUUCGCAAGAAUG
rnacentral:rRNA from 1 species